AUCGUCUCCUAAUUUGUCUAAGAUUUUGUCCCAUUGUGCUUGCCAGAAAUCUCCAGAGGCUCCCCAAAAUCUUUGUAAAUGCCUAAUAAAUGAAAGGAUCGAAACAGUGAAAUGAUUAUGGUAAACAUGAGUCGUUCAAUCUUAAAGAAAAGGAUAGUAAUGGAAGAAAGUUCGGUUUCAAAUAAAAGCGUGUGAGGAAAGACGGCGCGACGUUUGCACAACAGGACGUUAUACAAGAUAACCCGGAUUCGAUCGACAAUGCACUGAACAGCCACUCGACUUUAGCCCUUUCAAACGUGCGAUUACGUGCAAUUACCGUUUUUAACGUGUUCGCGGACAAGUUGCAUGAAGCCGAUUAUCGACGUUCGAAUUAUUACAUACCAUGCCAUACCAUAUUUACGAAUUCAACAUUUUCACAAAAUAUAACAAUUUUUACACGGAAAUAGUAUACAUGAAACAUAAAAAAGACUAUUAUAAACGGAUACAUUUAAUAAAAAAAAUAUGUCGAUAAAAUGCUGAUAUUUAAAGAUUUUCUACUUUAUACCGUUAAAACAAAAGAAAUAAAAUUAAUUUCUUUUUAUUAAACUAUCAUAGAUGUUUUAACAAGCAAAAAAUGAAUAAAUACAUGACAGUCAGAAAAGGUCGCAUGCAUGGCUAACAAUAAAAAUUAAUACAGUAAAUUUUGUGAUAGAUGAUGCCUUGCUUGUUGUCUUAACGAAUGGCAUCAAUGUUUAAAUCAACUACGAACAUGCCAUCCUGUACGUCAAGAUCUAAUUAAAUACACGUAGAAUCAUAUUGUAAUGUAUUCACAAAUUGAUUUAAGUAUUGUUUAAUAUAUACAUGAGGUAUCGUACAGCUUACAGCUUUGAAGCGAUAGAAGGAAAAUAAAAAUCUCAUUAGAUGGAACAAUAUGAUUUCGAAUAGUGCAUCAUAUAAUGUAUUAUAUAUGACUGUUCUCGAAGUGGAGCUUAAAGAUCUAUGUGACUCAUUUUCUUUUUUUAAUGAAUCAUUUGUUAGACAUGUCAUUCUGCUGCUAUCUAUUGAGCAUUUUAUCGCGCAUCAACCAGAUUAACAUGACCUUGGCUUUUUCGUGCUUCGAUUUUCCUUCCUGUUAGCUAAUGUUUAUUUAAAGUCCCUUUUAUCUUCCCUUAUUCAAUCUUUUCAAUGUACAUUAAUUUUUAAAAUAUACCUAUCUAUUAUGCCAUCUAAUUUAUUUUCUAAAAUAUAUAUACAUAUAUAUAUUACAAAAUUUAGUUUAUCUUUCACAGUAACAUCAGUUUAAAUCACAUCCUCUUAAUGAUUUCUCAUAAAAUUUGGACUGAUUAUGAAGUAGUGCGUUGUUUGUAGUAGUGCGAUGAGAUGAACGGAUAAAACUAAUUAUAAAUGGAUAUACUGUGUUGGAAAAUUUUGUUCGUCUAAUCGAAUAAUUUUUAUGCAAGGCACAUAAAUAUUUCAUGCUUUUGUUAUGUCUUUUGCUGAUGUUUUGAUAAUAUAUAAUUUUAUAUAUAUAUAAUUUUUUAAAAUAAUUUCUAUAAAUCGUCAGACGUAGGAUUUUCAAGUCACGUUAAAAAGCGACUUCUGCUAUAAUAUCGUAAUACGUAAGGGUGAAAGUUUCACGAGCUCUGAAAACAUAAUGAGAUUUCACUUAUAAAAUAAAUACAUCAAUUCUCGAAGUUUAUUUUUACGCUCUCGAUAAUAUUGACAGACAUAUUUGUGUUAAUCCGUAUUCGUAACAUUGAUUUGUAAUUUACCAUGGAUACUCGUACUUGUUAUAUUUGUUUGUUAUAAGUCUUCAAAAGUUAUGAUAUUAUCAUUGUUAUAUAAUCGUAUUGUAAGUGUAACAGCUCCUUCCCGAAAAACCAAUAGCAUGAUAU